GUUCAAAGAUGGAGCUGUGUAAGAACCGAGAGGCAAAUAACUCCUGCCGCUCCUGCUCCUCUUCCCUGUGCUCGUCCUUCUUGUCGUCCAGUUUCCCCUCUGAGUCCGUCCUGAUUUUCUUCUUCUUCAUGUACCAGGAUGGAAUCGGUCUUGGGGCGGAGUCAACCUUCUCUUUAUCUUUGUUGUCUCGAAAAUUAGCAAAGCGGGAGCCCCAGUCGAGGAAAGACCAGUUUUCUUCACGGGAGGACGAGAGGGAUUUGGCUCUUUCAAGCAAAGCCUUAGUGUCUGGUGUGAUUGUCUUAUCCAGUGCAAAAGAAUAAAAUUUAUUUCUUUCUAAAGAA
rnacentral:lncRNA from 1 species